rnacentral:lncRNA from 1 species
CCCAAAGGGAACUGAGGCAUUUAUCCACCAGCCCCCAUCAGCCAUUGGCUGAGGGCUGCUCCAGGGCUGGGACCAGGACUCCUUACAUCUUGUACACUGGACACCUUACUCGCCCCACCCUAGUCCCAGGCCCAGCUGCUCCUUGGUGCCACUGACUCCCUGACACUCUGGCCUGCUGUACCUAUGGACACAGAGGACCCUUUCAACCAAAACCUCCCGCCAAAAUUCAAGUCUCAGCCACAUGCCCAGCCCUACACCAAUCACUAAGCCAGGGGCUGUGAUGCUCUCAUUGGCCAGGCCCCAGUCACAUGCCCAGGCUAUGCCAAUCACUGGCCCUGGCAGCUGUGACGCACUCAUGGGCGGGCCCGCGUCGUGGCGGGGAGAGGAGUCUCCAGACGGAAGUGGGGUGCUGUUCUGAGAGAAAGAAGCAGCUUGGUGCUGGAUGAGAACCCGUGAACACCGAGGCUUCCCUCUGCCUCUCUGCUGACUGGUCCCUUAGCUCUGGGACGACUGAGAAGAGAACCCUGUUGACCAGGAAGGGCAGCCUUGGGAACCUAGCAAAAUGGGAAGGUCCGGGAAAUAUGGUAGACCAGGCAAGGAAAGACCGAGACUGGAAUGGAGCAGCUGGCGACGCAGCUGGGGGGAGAGGAGAGCACGUGCAACGUGAGUUCAUUCAGCAACCCCCUGGGGCUCCCACUGCAGGCCAAACACCACACUAAGUGCUUUGAGGGAGACCGAGAUAAGCGUGCCGCAGCCCCCCACCCCACUCCCCUCUUGGGAGGAGAAAUCAGCCACAGGCAGAAGGACGAACACAGAAGGAAGCCCUGCCUACCAGGAGACAGAAUGUCAACCCUCUCCUCUUCCAGGCAACAAAAAGAAACUAGAAAGAGAUGGCCAUUCAUCAAAGAGUGCCUUCCCAAUCACCUCCAUGGAGGUUUCAACAACAAUUACAGUGAACCAUCAGCAGUUUCAAGUGUGAAUAACUCAAUGACGUGGUCAAAUUUGGCAUCAAUAGAUCUGGCUGGGCCUCACAGAUUUUCCCCCGGGGCUGACGAUGUCAGCAGUUCCAGUCUGAU